UACAGAGGGUGCAAGCGUUAAUCGGAAUUACUGGGCGUAAAGCGUGCGUAGACGGUUAUGUAAGUCGGGGGUGAAAGCCCCGGGCUCAACCUGGGAAUGCCAUUCGAGACUGCAUAGCUAGGGUGCGGAAGAGGGAAGCGGAAUUUCCGGUGUAGCGGUGAAAUGCGUAGAUAUCGGAAGGAACACCAGUGGCGAAAGCGGCUUCCUGGUCCAGCACCGACGUUCAGGCACGAAAGCGUGGGGAGCAAACAGG
rnacentral:rRNA from 1 species